rnacentral:lncRNA from 1 species
CCUCUUUUUUGCAUUUUGCGCUGUAUGUAACCCGUUUUUGUUUUAAUUUAAUUUUUUCCUUUCUUCUUGUUACUCGUUCGCAACCGCGCCGAAUGCUUACGUAGCUCGUACUAGAAGAGCUUCAAGGGUCACGCAGGUCCGACGGGAAAUACUUACCCACGGGGCGCGGGCAGAAGCGACCGAUCGAGGCGUGCAGGUGGGUCGUGUCUUGGGGAUCUGGGUUGAGUUAAUAUUAACUGUAACGGUAUUAUUUCAUUUUGGGUUUCGCCGUAUGGACUUGAGGUUUUAUAUACGUUUUCGGUGCUGCUAAUUCGCUAGAUAUAGUUCAUCUUAUGUUUUCUGUAAUUACUUAACAAAGGGUUAUAUAGAUUGAUUGUGCAUAAGCUUACGGAUGCGAUCAUACCAGCAAUAAUGCACCGGAUCCCAUCAGAACUCCGAAGUUAAGUCUUGCUUGGGCGAGAGUAGUACUAGGAUGGGUGACCUCCUGGGAAGGCCUCGUGUUGCAUCCCUCUUUUUUGCAUUUUGCGCUGUAUGUAACCCGUUUUUGUUUUAAUUUUAAUUUUUUUCCUUUCUUCUUGUUACUCGUUCGCAACCGCGCCGAAUGCUUACGUAGCUCGUACUAGAAGAGCUUCAAGGGUCACGCAGGUCCGACGGGAAAUACUUACCCACGGGGCGCGGGCAGAAGCGACCGAUCGAGGCGUGCAGGUGGGUCGUGUCUUGGGAUCUGGGUUGAGUUAAUAUUAACUGUAACGGUAUUAUUUCAUUUUGGGUUUCGCCGUAUGGACUUGAGGUUUUAUAUACAUUUUCGGUGCUGCUAAUUCGCUAGAUAUAGUUCAUCUUAUGUUUUCUGUAAUUACUUAACAAAGGGUUAUAUAGAUUGAUUGUGCAUAAGCUUACGCAUGCGAUCAUACCAGCAAUAAUGCACCGGAUCCCAUCAGAACUCCGAAGUUAAGCUUGCUUGGGUGAGAGUAGUACUAGGAUGGGUGACCUCCUGGGAAUGCCUCGUGUUGCAUCCCUCUUUUUUGCAUUUUGCGCUGUAUGUAACCCGUUUUUGUUUUAAUUUUAAUUUUUUCCUUUCUUCUUGUUACUCGUUCGCAACCGCGCCGAAUGCUUACGUAGCUCGUACUAGAAGAGCUUCAAGGGUCACGCAGGUCCGACGGGAAAUACUUACCCACGGGGCGCAGGCAGAACUCCGAAGUUAAUUUUGCUUGGGCGAGAGUAGUACUAAGAUGGGUGACCUUUUGGGAAGGCCUCGUGUUGCAUCCCUCUUUUUUGCAUUUGCAUUGUAUGUAAGUCGUUUCUUACGUAGCUCGUACUAGAAGAACUUCAAGGGUCAUGCAGGUCCGACUGGAAAUACAUACCCACGAGGCGCGGGUAGAAACGACCGAUCCAGAUAUGCAUGUGGGUCGUUUCUUGGGAUCUGGGUUAAGUUAAUAUUAACUGUAACGGUAUUAUUUCAUUUUGUGUUUCGCCGUAUGGACUUUAGGUUUUAUAUACGUUUUCUAUACUGUUAAUUUGAUAGAUAAAAUUCAUCUUAUGUUUUCUGUAAUUACUUAACAAAGGGUUAUAUAGAUUGAUUGUGCAUAAACUUACGGAUGCGAUCAUACCAGCAUUAAUGCGCCGUAUCCCAUCAGAACUCCGAAGUUAAGGUUACUUGGGCGAGAGUUGUACUAGGAUGAUUGACCUCCUGUGAAGGCCUCGUCUUGCAUCUCUUUUUUUUGCAUUUGUGCUUUAUGUAACUCGUUUUUAUUUUUAUUUUAAUUUUAUUCUUUCUUCUUGUUACUGGUUCGCAACCGCGCCGAAAGUUUACGUAAUUCGUACUAGAAG